rnacentral:tRNA from 1 species
CAGGGGGUAGUUUAAUGAGAAUUUUAGCUUUGGGAGCUGAUGGUGAGGUUGGUAGUGGCCUCCCCCUUGA